rnacentral:rRNA from 1 species
GAUGAACGCUGGCGGCGUGCUUAACACAUGCAAGUCGAACGGAAAGGCCCAAGCUUGCUUGGGUACUCGAGUGGCGAACGGGUGAGUAACACGUGGGUGAUCUGCCCUGCACUUCGGGAUAAGCCUGGGAAACUGGGUCUAAUACCGGAUAGGACGAUGGUUUGGAUGCCAUUGUGGAAAGUUUUUUCGGUGUGGGAUGAGCUCGCGGCCUAUCAGCUUGUUGGUGGGGUAAUGGCCUACCAAGGCGUCGACGGGUAGCCGGUCUGAGAGGGUGUACGGCCACAUUGGGACUGAGAUACGGCCCAGACUCCUACGGGAGGCAGCAGUGGGGAAUAUUGCACAAUGGGCGCAAGCCUGAUGCAGCGACGCCGCGUGGGGGAUGACGGCCUUCGGGUUGUAAACUCCUUUCGCUAGGGACGAAGCGUUUUUGUGACGGUACCUGGAGAAGAAGCACCGGCUAACUACGUG